rnacentral:rRNA from 1 species
AUUGAACGCUGGCGGCAGGCCUAACACAUGCAAGUCGAGCGGUAACACAGGGAGCUUGCUCCUGGGUGACGAGCGGCGGACGGGUGAGUAAUGUCUGGGAAACUGCCUGAUGGAGGGGGAUAACUACUGGAAACGGUAGCUAAUACCGCAUAACGUCGCAAGACCAAAGAGGGGGACCUUCGGGCCUCUUGCCAUCAGAUGUUGCCAGAUGGGAUUAGCUAGUAGGUGGGGUAACAGCUCACCUAGGCGCCGAUCCCUAGCUGGUCUGAGAGGAUGACCAGCCACACUGGAACUGAGACACGGUCCAGACUCCUACGGGAGGCAGCAGUGGGGAAUAUUGCACAAUGGGCGCAAGCCUGAUGCAGCCAUGCCGCGUGUAUGAAGAAGGCCUUCGGGUUGUAAAGUACUUUCAGCGGGGAGGAAGGCGUUGUGGUUAAUAACCACAGCGAUUGACGUUACCCGCAGAAGAAGCACCGGCUAACUCCGUGCCAGCAGCCGCGGUAA